GAUGAACGCUGGCGGCGUGCCUAAUACAUGCAAGUCGAGCGAACAGACGAGGAGCUUGCUCCUCUGACGUUAGCGGCGGACGGGUGAGUAACACGUGGAUAACCUACCUAUAAGACUGGGAUAACUUCGGGAAACCGGAGCUAAUACCGGAUAACAUGUUGAACCGCAUGGUUCAACAGUGAAAGACGGUCUUGCUGUCACUUAUAGAUGGAUCCGCGCCGCAUUAGCUAGUUGGUAAGGUAACGGCUUACCAAGGCAACGAUGCGUAGCCGACCUGAGAGGGUGAUCGGCCACACUGGAACUGAGACACGGUCCAGACUCCUACGGGAGGCAGCAGUAGGGAAUCUUCCGCAAUGGGCGAAAGCCUGACGGAGCAACGCCGCGUGAGUGAAGAAGGUCUUCGGAUCGUAAAACUCUGUUAUUAGGGAAGUACAAAUGUGUAAGUAACUAUGCACGUCUUGACGGUACCUAAUCAGAAAGCCACGGCUAACUACGUG
rnacentral:rRNA from 1 species